CUUAUCUUCACCACAGAGCAAAACCUUCACAGGACCAAUAGCUGGAGGCCUGAGAGCUGGACAGGCUUUGUUCUUCCAGGGUGUCGUUCCAACAGAUGCCAAAAAGUCAUUGUGAACGGACACUUUUUCUGUGAGUUCCAGCGCCGAGAUCCUUUGGAGAAAGUGAAAGACCUGAACAUCAAUGGAGACGUCUUCAUGAACCACUUCGGCAUCUGUGAAGUAAGAUGUUUUAAAGCGUUACUUCACAUAACAGCUUUGGGUAGAGUAACACAGUAAUUUUAGCAUUGAUUAAAAUAUAUAUAUAUUAUUUUCUUUUUCCUUCUCUCAGGUGGACCAGAUUAAAAUAAGUGUCACCUUGCCUGCCCACAAAGGAAACUGAUCGCCACGACUACCCAAGAUGUCUUAUUUUUUAUAAGUACUCAAGUAUCAUUGUGUUUAUAACAGGUUUUGAGUACUCAAUAUAGAGAAAAAAGUUUUGUGACACCAGUUUAUUCAUUGUGUCUUCCUAUUUAAAAGAUUUGAUCAUGCUUUUGUUGGAUUAACUGUCUCUAUACUGUUCAUAGAACACUUUCUACUAGAUUAUUAAACAUUGGUGUAAGGAUUUGAUUGCAUUCAGUAGCAACAAGAAAGAUGUUGGAUGAUCCCUAAUGUAUUCAUGUAUACAGUUUCUCCUCCAGAGAGUCCUAUUCUAUUGGAAGCAUCUAUUCACAGGGGCUAAACAAGCUGUUUAAGUGUGUACAUUAGAAGGGGUGUCCACAAAUAAAAGUGGUUAUAUAUAGUAGGAUUUGUUUUUU
rnacentral:lncRNA from 1 species